CCCUUAGAUGUCCGGGGCCGCACGCGCGCUACACUGAAGGAAUCAGCGUGGCUUUCUCCCUGACCCGAAAGGGUUGGGAAACCCGUUGAACCUCCUUCGUGAUAGGGAUUGGGGCUUGAAAUUGUUCCCCGUGAACGAGGAAUUCCCAGUAAGCGCGAGUCAUAAGCUCGCGUUGAUUACGUCCCUGCCCUUUGUACACACCGCCCGUCGCUACUACCGAUUGAACGGUUUAGUGAGGGCCUCGGAUUGGUCUCGGCCCGCUCUUUACCGGGCGGCGCCGUUGGUCGAGAAGACGCUCGAACUUGAUCGUUUAGAGGAAGUAAAAGUCGUAACA
rnacentral:rRNA from 1 species